rnacentral:pre_miRNA from 1 species
AAUAAGUUCAUUUUUCAGUUUUUUGAAUACAAUGUUUGACUCUUCGUCUUAUUUGAAUUUUUUUUCAAUUAAUAUUCUUACUGUCACUGGAUGAUAAAACAUGAAUAGUAUUUUACGCGUGACUAUUUUUUUAAGUUUUUCUAUAAAUUUUUUAAAUAAAAUGAAUAGUCAAACGUUGGACAUAGAAAUCGGAAAAUAAACUUAUU